AUGUUGUAAGAAACAGAAAAGUUUUACACUGCCUCUGUCCAGAAUGGAAGUGGUGCAUGCCCAACAGCCUAUAAAUUGUUAAAGAGCUAUUACCUAUUUUGUGAGAUCUUAUUACUAUUUUAG